UGUAGCUCAGGUGGUUAGAGCGCACCCCUGAUAAGGGUGAGGUCGGUGGUUCAAGUCCACUCAAAAUGAAUACCA
rnacentral:tRNA from 1 species